AGAUUGAACGCUGGCGGCAUGCCUAACACAUGCAAGUCGAACGGGAGUAGCAAUACUCUAGUGGCGGACGGGUGAGGAAUACGUAGGAAUUUGCCCUUAAGUGGGGGAUAACCCGGGGAAACCCGGAUUAAUACCGCAUGACCUCGAAAGAGCAAAGUGGGGGAUCGCAAGACCUCACGCUUUUGGAGAAGCCUACGUCGGAUUAGCUAGUUGGUGAGGUAAUGGCUCACCAAGGCGACGAUCCGUAACUGGUCUGAGAGGAUGAUCAGUCACACCGGAACUGAGACACGGUCCGGACUCCUACGGGAGCAGCAGUGGGAAUAUGGACAAUGGGCGCAGGCCUGAUCCAGCAAGUGCCGCGUGUGUGAAGAAGGCCUUACGGUUGUAAAGCUACGUUAAAGUUAGGGAAGAAAAAACGUACGCUACUUAACACCAGUAGAGUCGUUAGACGGUACCGAACAAGAAACUAAGACUACCGACUAACUACUGUGCC
rnacentral:rRNA from 1 species